AGACGUCUACAUUAGAUACCCCGGUAGUCCCAGCCGUAAACUAUGCGCGUUAGGUGUAUCGGUGACCACGAGUUACCGAGGUGCCGAAGGGAAACCGUGAAACGUGCCGCCUGGGAAGUACGGUCGCGAGGCUGAAACUUAAAGGAAUUGGCGGGGAGCACCACAACGGGUGGAGCCUGCGGUUUAAUUGGACUCAACGCCGGGAAGCUCACCGGAUAAGACAGCGGAAUGAUUGCCGGGCUGAAGACUCUGCAUGACUAGCUG
rnacentral:rRNA from 1 species